rnacentral:rRNA from 1 species
UACGUAGGGUGCGAGCGUUGUCCGGAAUUAUUGGGCGUAAAGAGCUCGUAGGCGGUUUGUUGCGUCGGCCGUGAAAACUUGGGGCUUAACCCCGAGCCUGCGGUCGAUACGGGCAGACUUGAGUUCGGCAGGGGAGACUGGAAUUCCUGGUGUAGCGGUGAAAUGCGCAGAUAUCAGGAGGAACACCGGUGGCGAAGGCGGCUCACUGGCUCGUUUCUGACGCUCAGGCGCGACAGCGUGGGGAUCAAACAGG